CGUUUUCCGUGAAUUGGGCGCGCAGGUCGUUGUGCUGUCGGCGCAACCUGAUGGGCUCAAUAUCAACAAGGAUUGCGGUUCCACCCACAUGGAAGCGU
rnacentral:tRNA from 1 species